rnacentral:rRNA from 1 species
AGCGAACGCUGGCGGCAGGCCUAACACAUGCAAGUCGAACGGACCCUUCGGGGUUAGUGGCGGACGGGUGAGUAACACGUGGGAACGUGCCUUUAGGUUCGGAAUAGCUCCUGGAAACGGGUGGUAAUGCCGAAUGUGCCCUUCGGGGGAAAGAUUUAUCGCCUUUAGAGCGGCCCGCGUCUGAUUAGCUAGUUGGUGGUGUAACGGACCACCAAGGCGACGAUCAGUAGCUGGUCUGAGAGGAUGAUCAGCCACAUUGGGACUGAGACACGGCCCAAACUCCUACGGGAGGCAGCAGUGGGGAAUCUUGCGCAAUGGGCGAAAGCCUGACGCAGCCAUGCCGCGUGAAUGAUGAAGGUCUUAGGAUUGUAAAGCUCUGUCCUCAAGGAAGAUAAUGACGGUACUUGAGGAGGAAGCCCCGGCUAACUACGUGCCAGCCGCCGCCGUAAUAC